GAAAACCCCAUCACAGUUCCUGUGGUCUUGGUAUGAGUGGGUUGAUAGUAUGUGGAGACAUGCUUAUAACACUCUACUGAAAUUUAUAGACAGGAUACCAGAUAAUGGGCAAUAGACUUUGUAAAUGUCCACAGGAUAUAUAUCAGUCAUGUGUCAUGUUUGGUCCUGAUAUUAUGGACUCCUGUUCUAUAUAAACAUUG
rnacentral:misc_RNA from 1 species